rnacentral:misc_RNA from 1 species
GAAAUGCGAUAAGUAAUGUGAAUUGCAGAAUUCAGUGAAUCAUCGAAUCUUUGAACGCACCUUGCGCUCCUUGGUAUUCCUUGGAGCAUGCCUGUUUGAGUAUCAUGAAAUCUUCAAAGUAAAUCUUUUGUUAACUCAAUUGGUUUCUACUUUGGUAUUGGAGGUCUUUGCAGUUUCACACCUGCUCCUCUUUGUUCAUUAGCUGGAUCUCAGUGUUAUGCUUGUUUCCACUCGGCGUGAUAAGUUAUCUAUCGCUGAGGACACUGUAAAAGGUUGCCAAGGUAAAUGCAGAUGAACCGCUUCUAAUAGUCCAUUGACUUGGACAAUACUUUUAUGAUCUGAUCUCAAAUCAGGUAGGACUACCCGCUGAACUUAAGC